ACUUUAGACAUACACAAAUGCGACUUCUAUGUCGCAUUUGUGUAUGUCAAUUAAAAACAGGAGAUAACUUAACAGU